rnacentral:tRNA from 1 species
CAGGGUGUAGCUCAGCUUGGUAGAGCGCCUGCUUUGGGAGCAGGAAGUCGCAGGUUCAAAUCCUGUCACCCUGA